rnacentral:rRNA from 1 species
GGUUAAGUCAGGCAACGAGCAAGACCCGUGCCCACAGUUGCCAGCAUACCCUCCGGGGUGAUGGGCACACUGUGGGGACCGCCGCUGCUAAAGCGGAGGAAGGCGCGGGCUACGGUAGGUCAGUAUGCCCCGAAUCAUCCGGGCUACACGCGGGCUACAAUGGUUGGGACAAUGGGCACCUACACCGAGAGGUGAUGGUAAUCUCCUAAACCCAGCCUUAGUUCGGAUUGAGGGCUGCAACUCGCCCUCAUGAAGCCGGAAUCCGUAGUAAUCGCGUAUCAAUAUCACGCGGUGAAUACGUCCCUGCUCCUUGCACA